UUUCAAUAAGAUUAUGGCAGCUCUACAACAUAUCGACUGGCAUAAACUCCUUAGUGAAAAAAACACUGAGGAUAAAUGGAAACUAUUCAAACAAAUAUUAGAAAGGUACAUUUCUCAGUAUGUACCAAUGGGUAAUAAAUAUAAAAGAAACAAAUUGAAACCAAUGUGGCUUAGUAGAGAAGUAAAACAAGAGAUUAAAAAUAAGAAAAGGGCAUUUAAAUCGGACAAAUCAGAGGCAUCCUAUAUAAGAUAUAAGGAAGCCAAUAAUACUUGCAA